ensembl:lncRNA
AUGAGGUUAAAAAGCUCCAAACCUGCAGGAUUCUCUUGUUCUUCACAGAGCGAGAGUUGUGUGGCAGGUAACGUCAGUUUGUUGGUGUCUGUCAGCAAUAACUCAACUCUGCUGGUUGACUGGAACAGUGGGAGCAAACAGACGACCCAAUGUGCUCUGCUCAUCUCAAGCGAAGGAAGACAGGAGAUCCAGAUACACCUUUUACCAAGGUCUGGAUCUCUCCUGUUGGAAAACAUGACAGACAAUGGCAAACACUCCUUCUUAUGCACUUGUUUUGAACAAUCUCGGGGACUCUUGUGCUCCAAGAACAUAAGCUUUGUUAUGGGCGCUGUUUCCACACCACCUCUGGUCCUGAUGUCAAAUACUCAAAGCUCUGCCAGUUACAUCAGCAUGAAAUGGUUGAGCAACGGUGUGUUUGGAAUGACUUUAGCGACAUUCGGCAUUAUUCUAAUCUACAUUAUAUACAGAAGAUGGACAGGGAACGGUGUCUUCCAACUGCGUCUGAGAUAAAGAAAGGCUUGCCUGGAAAUUUAAAGGAAUAGUUUGCCCUAAAAAAUUUUAAUUUGCUGCAAAUACUCAUCCUCAGACCAUCCAAAAAUCAGAAUAGAUUUGGAGAAAUGUAGCAUUCCCUCACUUGCUCACCAAUGGAUCCUCUGCAGUGAAUGGGUGCCGUCAAAAUGAGAGUCUAAACAGCUGAUAAAAACAUCACAAUAAUCCACAAGUAUCCACACGACUCUAAUCUAUCAAUUUUCAUCUUGUGAAGUGAAAAGCUGCAUGUCUGUAAGAAACAAAUCCAUCAUUUAGGAAUUUUAACUUUAAACCAUCGCUUCUGGUCUUAAUCCAUAAUAACGCUUCCUCCAGUGAAAAAGUCCAUUCUCUGUUGUUCUCUCACAUAAAAAUCCACCCACAUAUAUUUGUUUAGAAUGGCUUUGGACCAUUUUAACUUAUAAACGGUGUUUGAUCUGUGCACAUUUCUCUCCUUAUUCAGAGUAGAUGUCUUUUUCCACUGGAGAAAGCAAUAUUAUGGAUGGAUGAUAAUCCUUUUUUUUUUUUACAAUAAGUCUUAAUGGUGAUUUGUUUCUUUCAAACACGCAGCUUCUCACUUCUCAAGAUGUUAACUGAUGGACAGGUGUUGUGUGGAUUACCUGUGGAUUAUUGUGAUGUUUUUAUCAGCUAUUUGGACUCUCAUUCUGACGGCACCCAUUCACUGCAGAUGAUUCGUUGGUGAGCAAGUGAUGCAUGCUACAUUUCUCCAAACUGAUGAAGAAGCAAACACACCAAAUCUUGGGUGGCUUGAAGGGUGAGUGAAUAUUAAUUUUGGGGUGAACUAUUCCUUUAAUAGUUUAAAGACAUUUUUACUGCCACUGACAUUUAAUUCAAUCUCAAGUUUAUUGAUUUUGUAUUAACUAAACCGCAGUGGACCUUGGACUGGUUGGGUGCCAUAUUAAUAUGAUGUGAAUGAAAACAAGAACAGAAAUACAGUUGUGCAUGUCAAUCAUUAAUCCAGCAAAAAAAGUCUUUACAAGACAUUUCCAGUUGCCAAAAAAACUAUGCAAAACAUGUGAGUUGUGAAAAUAUGACUGUAACUUCAGAUAAUAUGCCAUAGAGAACUGACCGGACAUCAAAUAAAAACACUGGUAACAUUUUACA